rnacentral:tRNA from 1 species
GGAGAUGUGGCUCAGUGGAAGAGAACCUGUUUUGUACGCAGAAGGUCCCAGAUUCGGUCCCCAGCAUCUUCA